CUCAUGGAGUUUUCCCUGCAAGCUGAGAUCUUCACACAGAGAAAGUGCAUUGAAUGCAGAAUCCUUUGGCAUGGGAAAAACCUCAGGAAGCACAAUACUGCAACCUCUGCAGCCGCUCUGACCUACUGGAAUUGAACUCUGAUCUUCUGCAUAAUAAAGAUGAGUACUUCUUAGUGAUGCAAAUUUAGGAAAGGAAGAAUGUCUGCUACUAGGAGCCUCUCUCUCCAGAAAACACAUUUCAACUAUAACGGUGUUACACAACUCUGAAUUUCGAGCCUAAACAAGAUUUCUCAGGCUCUACAACAAAUCUCUGAAUGGAAGAAGGAAUUAUUUCUGUGUAAAAAUGGAUAAAAUGUUGUUCCUGUUGCCCCGAUCAAGAGGAAAGGCGGAAAGAGAAGCCACAAAAAUUCCCCCAAGAGAUUGAAAUGUUUGACUACUCAAGCACUGCUGCCAUUGGAUUGCUUGACGUCUGAAUCCAGUCCUGGUACCAGCAAGAUGGAACAGAGGAAAUGUACCGCUGAUCCAGUGGUGUCUCAAAAGAGGAUUCCAGGGGUGAUCGUGGGACCUACAAAAAUGGCGAAGGAGGAGAAUCCCGGCUGGUCACCCACUAUUGGGAAGCUUUAUGGCAAGAGUGUGCCACAUCCUGCUGGCUGCAGCCUGGGAG
rnacentral:lncRNA from 1 species